UUUGUAGACUUAGAUGCUCACUCUGCACAGGGGAGGCCCGAGCUGCUCCUGGGAUCUGGGACAGCAGGUCAGAGGCUGUGGGACAGCAGGUCAGUGGCUGUGGGACAGCAGGUCAGUGGCUGUGGGACAGCAGGUCAGUGGCUGUGGGACAGCAGGUCAGUGGCUGUGGGACAGCAGGUCAGUGGCUGUGGGACAGCAGGUCAGUGGCUGUGGGACAGCAGGUCAGUGGCUGUGGGACAGCAGGUCAGUGGCUGUGGGACAGCAGGUCAGUGGCUGUGGGACAGCAGGUCAGUGGCUGUGGGGCAGCAGGUCAGUGGCUGUGG